GGCGUAGAAAUGCUCAGCACUGAUAUGGGUGAGACUACACUGGAAGCAACAGAGGUUCGCGAAAUGCUACCAGACAGUGCCAUCCGAGUCUGAAGAGGGCUCAGGUGAACUGUCUGACCAGACAGACGACAGUUCUGAUGAGGAUUAUGUGCCUCCCCUGCCUAUAAGAUUGGAAGCAGCUAUGGAAUCAAGGCCCAAAAUAGAGAAACUGCCUGCAAUUUCAACAGAUGAGACCGUCCAUGACCUCCCUGAAAACCUCGGAACAUCCUCUGAGGAAGAUGAUCUGCCUAGA